GUUUGAUAAUCGUAUGACAAUCGUAUGACAAUCGUAUGACAAUCGUAUGACAAUCGUAUGACAAUCGUAUGACAACUGUAUGGCAACUGUAUGGCAACAGCUUGACAACACUUUUUUUUUAUACAUGGUUUAAAAUAAAUUCUGGAAGUAAAGUUAGUUUAGUUAGCUAGUUCUUAUGUGCAUAGCUAUAUAUACAUGCAAGUAGUUUUAAUGUUGUAUUACAAAAAAAAAAAAAUAAAAAAUAAAAUAAUUAAAUGUUGUCAAGUAUCGAAAUAGAUUACCAAAAAAAAUAAACUAUCAAACAAUGGAGCACCCAGAAUCGCUCAACGAUAUAAACAAAAAUUUCUUAAAAACUUACGCAUAUGCUCUAUUCAAAUAUGUUGAAGAAGAAAAAGAAAAAACGAAUAACGUUACAAAUUUGUUAGAAAAAAAGAUAGACAGUAUCAAAAAGACGUUUAAACUAAAAUUUACUAUAAUUUUAUUAUUAUUAUUUUAUAUACUAAUUUAUAUGUCAGGUGAUAUAGUAAAAGUAAAAAAUUACCAAAAUUAUAUUUAUAAUAAUAUCAACGAAUCUGAAACAUUCAGUGAAUUGUUUUAUAAAUCAAUAAGUGACAAUGUAGUAAACCUAAAUAAUGAUUUUUCUUACGAACCAUACGUAAAAGAUUACAUUAAAUUCAAAAAUAUACAUACAAAAUUUGAUUUAUCAUCAUGGAUAAAAUAUGGGUUCAUAGAAAAUGUAUUAAAAAAAUUUUCUUUAAAUAACAAUAUAUUAAUCAAUAACUGCUGGAGAAUAAGUAUAAGAUUAUAUAAAAAAAAAAAUGAAUUAGUAAAAAAUGUGUAUAACUAUAAAAAAGUAUUUGACAUAUAUUCAGACAGUGCUUUUUUAAAAAAUGUAGAAAACACUAGAGAUAUUGAUUCUUUUUAUUUUCAAACUAAAUGGAAGUAUUCAUUUUCUUUUGAUAAAAGUUAUAAACAACUUGGAGGACUCUAUCAAAUAAUAUGCG
rnacentral:lncRNA from 1 species